UACGGGGGGGGCAAGCGUUGUUCGGAAUUACUGGGCGUAAAGCGAGUGUAGGCGGUUUCCUAAGUCGGAUGUGAAAGCCCCGGGCUCAACCCGGGAAGUGCACUCGAAACUGGGAGGCUAGAGUAUCGGAGAGGUUGGUGGAAUUCUCGGUGUAGAGGUGAAAUUCGUAGAUAUCGAGAGGAACACCGGUGGCGAAGGCGGCCAACUGGGCGAAUACUGACGCUGAGACUCGAAAGCGUGGGGAGCAAACAGG
rnacentral:rRNA from 1 species